rnacentral:rRNA from 1 species
UACGUAGGGGGCAAGCGUUGUCCGGAUUUAUUGGGCGUAAAGAGCGUGUAGGCGGCCUGGAAGGUCAGCUGUGAAAACUCGAGGCUCAACCUCGAGACGUCGGUUGAAACCACCUGGCUAGAGUCCGGAAGAGGAGAGUGGAAUUCCCGGUGUAGCGGUGAAAUGCGUAGAUAUCGAGAGGAACACCUGCGGCGAAGGCGGGUUGCUGGGCUGACACUGACGCUGAUGCGCGAAAGCCAGGGGAGCGAACGGG